AAUGAACGCUGGCGGCGCGCCUAAUACAUGCAAGUCGAGCGAGAAGACGUAGCAAUACGUUUGUAAAGCGGCGAACGGGUGAGGAAUACAUGGGUAACCUACCCUAGAGUGGGGAAUAACUAGCCGAAAGGUUAGCUAAUACCGCGUACGCUCCUUGGACUUCGGUUCAGGGAGGAAAGCGAUGCCGAGGGUAUCGCGCUCUUGGAUGGGCUCAUGUCCUAUCAGCUUGNGGUGAGGUAACGGCUCACCAAGGCUUCGACGGGUAGCUGGUCUGAGAGGAUGAUCAGCCACACUGGGACUGAGACACGGCCCAGACUCCUACGGGAGGCAGCAGUGGGGAAUCUUGGACAAUGGGCGCAAGCCUGAUCCAGCCAUGCCGCGUGAGUGAAGAAGGCCUUAGGGUUGUAAAGCUCUUUUUACCAGGGACGAUAAUGACGGUACCUGGAGAAUAGGCCCCGGCAAACUUCGU
rnacentral:rRNA from 1 species